CCCUUAGAUGUUCUGGGCCGCACGCGCGCUACACUGACGAUGGCAACGAGUUUUUCCUUCGCCGAAAGGUGUGGGUAAUCUUUUGAAACAUCGUCGUGCUGGGGAUAGAUCAUUGCAAUUUUUGAUCUUGAACGAGGAAUUCCUAGUAAGCGCGAGUCAUCAGCUCGCGUUGAUUACGUCCCUGCCCUUUGUACACACCGCCCGUCGCUACUACCGAUUGAAUGGUUUAGUGAGGACUCCUGAUUGGCGCCGCCGCCCCGGCAACGGAGCAGCGGACUGCCGAAAAGUUGUUCAAACUUGGUCAUUUAGAGGAAGUAAAAGUCGUAACA
rnacentral:rRNA from 1 species